CUUUUGGGAAUGUUUAUCAGCAAUGGUGACAACAGUGUUUACAAUUUGCAUUAACUUGUCAGAUGGUCAUUGUGGUCUGGCCUGGUUUCCAUACAGCAAUGGUCAGGUCAAGUUUUCAGGAUUAGGUCUGUUCCUUAAAUGCAUAUAGGUCUACACUAUUUGAUAAAAGGAUUGGUUGUAGGAAGUAUAUACAUGUACAUCUUUGUCUUGCAUACGCCUUAAUCUUAUUUGCACAUUCCAAAGAUAUGAAUACAGUAAUUACUUUCAAUUGACUAGAAUCGUCAGUAUUCCAAUUGAAAGGUCAUGGUUUUCCCUUAGGACCCUGGCCUCCUACACCUAUUAAAACUGGCUGCCACGAAAUAGCCCAAAGGUGGCGCUUAAAAGUGGAAACACCAACAAUCAAUCAAUCAUUACAGUAACAGGAUAAAUCAACCCUAUUUGAUAUUUGUUAGAAGGAGUAUAUUUUCAUCUGAUAUAUUUUAUAUGGCUUUGUCGUCAACAUACCAAUUUGACAUUCAACACCAAUAGUCAAUCACUAGACCAAUUAAGUUUUCAGAAAGAUAACUGCUCCAUAUUAUCUACUGGUACUCAUAAUAGGAUAAGAACUUGGUUUGUUGCAAAAAUCACCAAGAGUCUAGAAAAGUUGUAAAUAUAUUCAGAAGAGGCCGUCAAAUACAUGAAAGCUCAUAAAGAUAGACCAUGUAAAAACUAGGGAAAUCACAUAAAUCAAACAAAAAAACAAACUUUCUUCAAUCCACAAGAAUUUAACUGUUAAAAUAUAAAAGAAUCCACAGUAAAUUUUAAAAGCUAACCAAAAUCACGACUCCUGAUCUGGAACAGACAAGUGUCCUCCAUGAAAUCUAACCCCUUUAAAUAGUUCUAUGGAAAAUAGCAUUAAAAUGUUCAGAAAAUAGAAAAUAACAAAAAAUAUGAACAAGCAAAACGAUAAUACCUUUUCAAAGAAUGUUUACAUUUACAUAAAAAAGCUCAACAUACUAUAAAUCCUACUGAAAAUAUAUCUGAUCAUGUAAUCCUACACUAAUAUCUGUGGCUGUGUUUCUGAGCAGCAUCAUUGAUGUUAACUAAAAAUACUGCUCAUUUAUUCAACAGUAUGGUUAUAACCCUUUAUCAGUGAAUCUAUCAAAUCAGAAAGAA
rnacentral:lncRNA from 1 species